AGUGAACGCUGGCGGCAGGCCUAACACAUGCAAGUCGAGCGGAAGAACAGUAAGAGCUCGCGGUUUCGGGUGGCGACGGGUGGGUGAGUGAGAGGUAUAUGCCUAGCAACUUGGUAUAGGGUGAGGAAACGGGGGCUAAUACGGUAUAAGCGCAUAGGGAGAAAGGGGGGAAUCAUGGGACCUCAGGAUAUUAGAUGAGACUAGGACGGAUUAGCGAGUUGGCGAGGUAAAGGGGUACCAAGGCGACGAUGCGUAGCUGGUCUGAGAGGAUGAGCAGCCACACUGGAACUGAGACACGGUCCAGACUCCUACGGGAGGCAGCAGUGGGGAAUAUUGGACAAUGGGCGCAAGCUUGAUCCAGCCAUACCGCGUGGGUGAAGAAGGUCUUCGGGUUGUAAAGCCCUUUUGUUGGGAAAGAAAAGCAGCAGGUUAAUACCCCGCUGUUCUGACGGUACCCAAAGAAUAAGCACCGGCUAACUUCGUG
rnacentral:rRNA from 1 species